rnacentral:lncRNA from 1 species
GGAAACUCCUAUUUAUACUAAACCUAAAAAUUAGGUAAAAAUCGUGUAAAAGUCGAGCAUAAUCUCCAAAAUAUGGAAAAGAAUCAAAAUCUAACAAAAUAUGGAAAAUUACCAAAAUUGAAAAAUUCGCCAAAUUUUUGGCUUGUGCGACCGCAUGGUGUAUUUCCAUGCGGUCGCAUGGUUCAACAAAAAAUCCCAAUUUAAGUUUCGGUAUGUCACUGUGCGGUCGCACAUGCUUAUUUUCAGCGUCCGGUUUCAUCGCUUGAUAACAAAUUGAUCCAAGUUGAUUCGGCCUUCGACUCGAACAUGAAAUUUGCUUCAUUUUGAGUCCCGAACAUGGUUCCAUCAAUGGUUUCUUAAACGAGCAAUCUCAUCACUUGUUUCACUUGCUUUUUCCUUGAUCGCGUUAUUGAUCCCCCAUCGACUAUCAACGUGUCUCGUCUCGCACUUGCCUUCAUCGGGCUCGACUCCUGGAUCAUAUCAUCCCCUCCCUCUUCAGAAGGAUUCAUCCUCGAAUCUGAACCUACAUCAAAUAGAGAGAGAUCAGAUACAUUAAAAGUAGCUGAAAUAUUGUACUCACCUAGAAGGUCCAACUUGUAAGCAUUGUCGUUUAUCUUUUCAAUCACUUGAAAUGGACCAUCGCCCCUCAGUUGCAAUUUGGACUUCCUUUACUCCGGAAACCGCUCUUUCCUAAGGUGCACCCAAACCCAAUCUCCUGGCUCGAAUGUCACGCGCUUCCUACCUUUGUUUGCCUGCGACGCAACCAACUUACUUUUGUUUUCAAUUUGCGCUUUUACCUUUUCAUGGAGUGGCUUAACCAAUUCCGCCUUCUUUUUACCAUCUAAACUACCACGUUCAUUCACAGGUAAAGAAAUUAAAUCCAAAGGAGUUAGUGGAUUAAAACCAUAUACAAUUUCAAAUGGAGAAUAUGAUGUAGUAGAGUGAACAGCUCGAUUGUAUGCAAAUUCAACAAAUAGUAGACACUCCUCCCAACUCUUCAAAUUUUUAUUGAUUACUGCGCGUAACAAUUGUGUCAUAGUCUUAUUCACUACCUCGGUUUGCCCAACCGUUUGUGGGUGACAAGUUGUGGAAAAUAGUAACUUAGUGCCUAACUUACCCCACAAAACUCUCCAAAAGUGACUCAAAAAUUUGACAUCCCAAUCCGACACUAUGCUUCUAGGAACCCCAUGUAAACACACAACCUCUUUAAAGAAUAAGUCAGCAAUGUUCGUGGCAUUGUCAGUUUUGUGACAUGGUAUAAAAUGUGUCAUUUUGCUGAACCUAUCUACAAUCACAAAAAUAGAAUUCCUACCUCUCUUAGUCCUAGGUAAACCUAAAACAAAGUCCAUCGAGAUAUCAACCCAAGGCUCACUAGGUGUAAGUAAAGGUGUGUACAAACCUUGUGGUAAAACCUUAUAUUUAGCCUUUUUACAACCUAUGCAUCGACUACAAAUUCGCUUAACAUCACUUUUCAUCUUAGGCCAAUAAAAAUGCUCCUUCAAUACAUCUAAAGUCUUUUGAACCCCAAAGUGUCCCAUCAAUCCACCACUAUUUGCCUCCCUUACUAACAACUCCUGAAUAGAACAAUUAGGAACACAUAACCUAUUUUCCCGAAAUAAAUACCCCUCAUGCCUAAAAAACCUAUCAACCGCCCCUUUUAUGCAUGACAAAU